rnacentral:rRNA from 1 species
GACGAACGCUGGCGGCGUGCCUAAUACAUGCAAGUUGAGCGCUGAAGGUUGGUACUUGUACCAACUGGAAGAGCAGCGAACGGGUGAGUAACGCGUGGGGAAUCUGCCUUUGAGCGGGGGACAACAUUUGGAAACGAAUGCUAAUACCGCAUAAAAACUUUAAACACAAGUUUUAAGUUUGAAAGAUGCAAUUGCAUCACUCAAAGAUGAUCCCGCGUUGUAUUAGCUAGUUGGUGAGGUAAAGGCUCACCAAGGCGAUGAUACAUAGCCGACCUGAGAGGGUGAUCGGCCACAUUGGGACUGAGACACGGCCCAAACUCCUACGGGAGGCAGCAGUAGGGAAUCUUCGGCAAUGGACGAAAGUCUGACCGAGCAACGCCGCGUGAGUGAAGAAGGUUGUCGGAUCGUAAAACUCUGUUGGUAGAGAAGAACGUUGGUGAGAGUGGAAAGCUCAUCAAGUGACGGUAACUACCCAGAAAGGGACGGCUAACUACGUG